rnacentral:rRNA from 1 species
UACAGAGGAUGCAAGCGUUUAUCCGGAAUGAUUGGGCGUAAAGCGUCUGUAGGUGGCUUUUUUAAGUCCGCCGUCAAAUCCCAGGGCUCAACUCUGGACAGGCGGUGGAAACUACCAAGCUUGAGUACGGUAGGGGCGGAGGGAAUUUCCGGUGGAGCGGUGAAAUGCAUAGAUAUCGGGAAGAACACCAACGGCGAAAGACACUCCGCUGGGCUGAUACUGACACUGACAGACGAAAGCUAGGGUAGCGAAAGGG